CACGUAGGGGGCAAGCGUUUGUCCGGAUUUAUUGGGCGUAAAGAGCUCGUAGGUGGUUCGGUAAGUCAGGUGUGAAACCUCCAGGCUCAACCUGGAGACGCCACUUGAUACUGCUGUGACUGGAGUCCGGUAGGGGAGCGUGGAAUUCCUGGUGUAGCGGUGAAAUGCGCAGAUAUCAGGAGGAACACCAAUGGCGAAGGCAGCUCGCUGGGACGUGACUGACGCUGAGACGCGAAAGCGUGGGGAGCAAACAGG
rnacentral:rRNA from 1 species